UACGUAGGGUGCGAGCGUUGUCCGGAAUUACUGGGCGUAAAGAGCUCGUAGGUGGUUUGUCGCGUUGUUCGUGAAAACUCACAGCUUAACUGUGGGCGUGCGGGCGAUACGGGCAGACUGGAGUACUGCAGGGGAGACUGGAAUUCCUGGUGUAGCGGUGGAAUGCGUAGAUAUCGAGAGGAACACCUGCGGCGAAGGCGGGUUGCUGGGCUGACACUGACGCUGAGGCGCGAAAGCUAGGGGAGCGAACGGG
rnacentral:rRNA from 1 species